UGCAAUCAGGUGGGCUAAGAAUGCUAGUCGUGCGCUUUCUAGCCUGCUGGAAGCGCGGCACACAGCUCAGUAGCACGUGGCUAACCUGCCCUUGGGACGGGAACAACCCCGGGAAACUGGGGCCAAUUCCCGAUAGGUGAAGAUCCCUGGAAUGGGUUUUCGCCCAAAAGACGUUUGGGUCAUGCUUUCAGACGUUGCCCAAGGAUGGGGCCGCGGCCGAUCAGGUUGUUGGUGAGGUAACGGCUCACCAAGCCUUUGACCGGUUCGGGCCGUGAGAGCGGUAGCCCGGAGAUGGGCACUGAGACAAGGGCCCAGGCCCUACGGGGCGCAGCAGUCGCGAAAACUUCGCAAUAAGCGAAAGCUUGACGGGGCCAUCCCGAGUGCCAUCUGCUGAGGAUGGCUUUUACCCAGUAUAGAUAGCUGGGGGAAUAAGGAGAGGGCAAGUCUGGUGUCAGCCGCCGCGGUAAUACCAGCUCUCCGAGUUGUGGGGACGUUUAUUGAGCCUGAAGCAUCCGUAGCCGGCUGUGCAAGUCCCCUGUUAAAUCCAGCGACUAAUCGUUGGCCUGCGGGGGAUACUGCUCGGCUAGGGGGCGGGAGAGGCCGUCGGUAUUCUUGGGGUAGGGGUGAAAUCCUAUAAUCCCAGGAGGACCACCAGUGGCGAAGGCUGUCGGCUAGAACGCGCCCGACGGUGAGGGAUGAAAGCUGGGGGAGCGAACCGGAUUAGAUACCCGGGUAGUCCCAGCUGUAAACGAUGCAGGCUAGGUGUUAGGGCGGCUACGUGCCGCUCUAGUGCCGCAGGGAAGCUGUUAAGCCUGCCGCUUGGGGAGUACGGCCGCAAGGCUGAAACUUAAAG
rnacentral:rRNA from 1 species